rnacentral:lncRNA from 1 species
GAAACACGAAAGAAUCGACAAAAAAAACUUUUUCAAUCGGAAAACUAUGCCUCAAACAAGUUUCGUGGGUGCUCAUUGUUCUAUGUUGUGAUUAUCAUUAAUUUACUAUACAAUACCCAUACUUUAAACCAAAGAUAAUGGUUGUUGCACCCACAUGGGCGGAACAUGUUAAAUUACACUGCAAUAAUUAUUUGCACUCCCUGUAUAAAAGUUAAAUCUUUACAAUACCAAAUGCCGACAAGUAAUGAAAGACGUGCAAGCUGACCAAUGAUCAAUAUUUUCCAUAGCUGCUUCAUUGUAUAUAGAAGCCAUGAGGAUCCGCAUAUAAUUGCUAUUAUUGCAGAAUAUCAAAUAAUGUUAUAGUUACACAGAAACAAUAUCUAAAAACAGAGAACCAUAGUAGAGGAAGAACAAAUUUGAAGAACAAAUACCAAACAAAGCAUAGGCUUCUAUAAAAAUUCAAAAAGAGACACCCAAGAAAAUAUAAUCUGAAAAAUAACUGAUUGUAAAAAAAAAUAUUGAGUAGUAGCAAACCAAUUACUACCAAAAAAAAAAAAAAUCAAGAUUUCACAAACCUGCAAAAUGGGUUAUUGAGAAAUAUUAAACAAAGGUUAACUCAAGAUAUAUAGAGAAAGAAAUUGUGCUUACUUGUGAUAGAUAAGUAGUAAAUUUUUAGUUUGAUAUUCUCCCCAAAUCUGCAAAAAAUGAGCUUAGAUGACCUAUCUUAAGAGAGAUAGAAGAAAAAUAUUGAUUUAGUUUCAAUACAUGUACCUUCGCUUAUGGAGUUUUAGGAGAUUUAGGGUUUAUACUUUUUUGAGGAGUGAGGGAGAUAAGCCUUGAGAGAAAUCAGCAGAUUAGGUUUUCUUAAAAGUUAGAGUAAAUUAUUUUUUAUGUUUUAU